AUUGAACGCUGGCGGCAGGCUUAACACAUACAAGUCGAGCGAGGUGAUGGUGCUUGCACUAUCACUUAGCGGCGGACGGGUGAGUAAUGCUUAGGAAUCUGCCUAUUAGAGGGGGACAACAUCUCGAAAGGGAUGCUAAUACCGCAUACGUUCUACGGGAGAAAGCAGGGGAUCACUUGUGACCUUGCGCUAAUAGAUGAGCCUAAGUCGGAUUAGCUAGAUGGUGGGGUAAAGGCCUACCAAGGCGGCGUUCUGUAGCGGGUCUGAGAGGAUGAUCCGCAACACUGGGACUGAGACACGGCCCAGACUCCUACGGGAGGCAGCAGUGGGGAAUAUUGGGCAAUGGGGGGAACCCUGAUCCAGCCAUGCCGCGUGUGUGAAGAAGGCCUUAUGGUUGUAAAGCACUUUAAGCGAGGAGGAGGCUCUUUUGGUUAAUACCCAAGAUGAGUGGACGUUACUCGCAGAAUAAGCACCGGCUAACUCUGUGCCAGCCGCCGCCGUAA
rnacentral:rRNA from 1 species